UGUUUAGUUUAUUUUAAUCAUUGUCCAAAGCAUUUCAAAAGUUUUUAAUGUUCAUGUUUAUAUUUCUUUUAGUCUCAGGGCUCCAUUACACCUCACACUGUAGUCACUCUUCCCAAUUCCAAAGGCUUGCAACUUCUUCUUUGUUAUGAUAUUUCAUUUCUUUGAAUGUAUUGAACCUGCUGUCAGCACAGUUUCAGCUGAAACUGAAGAAAUGCAAGGCACUGCAUUCCUUUAG